GAAAUGCGAUACUUGGUGUGAAUUGCAGAAUCCCGUGAACCAUCGAGUCUUUGAACGCAAGUUGCGCCUGAAGCGGGCACGUCGGUGCGUGGGCGGAUAUUGGCCCCCCGUUCACAUCCGUGCUCGGUCGGCCUAAAAAACGGGUCCCCAAUGACGGACAUCACGACAAGUGGUGGUUGCUAAACCGUCGCGUCAUGUCGUGCAUGCCAUCGUUUGUUGCGGGUUUGCCCAUUUGACCCUGAAGUGCCGUUUAAAUGCGGCGCCUCAACUGCGACCCCAGGUCAGGCGGGAUUACCCGCUGAGUUUAA
rnacentral:rRNA from 1 species